AUGAUUGGCUACCCCACAGUGGACUAUACAACACUGGCCCUUUAAGGCUCUCCUGGAGGAUGAUUGGCUACCCCAUAGUAGACUAUACAACACUGGCCCUUUAAGGCUCUCCUGGAGGAUGAUUGGCUACCCCACAGUGGACUAUACAACACUGGCCCUUUAAGGCUCUCCUGGAGGAUGAUUGGCUACCCCACAGUGGACUAUACAACACUGGCCCUUUAAGGCUCUCCUGGAGGAUGAUUGGCUACCCCAUAGUAGACUAUACAACACUGGCCCUUUUAAGGCUCUCCUGGAGGAUGCUUGGCUACCCCAUAGUGGACUAUACAACACUGGCCCUUUAAGGCUCUCCUGGAGGAUGAUUGGCUACCCCAUAGUGGACUAUACAACACUGCAAUUCCAACUAAAUGCUUUGAGGUGGUUACGGUAGGCUACUUCAAAGCAAGGAGACGAGGUACCAGUUGCUGCGGCCAGCCCAGAGUGCUUCAUGGAUCGGCUACGCCAUCGCCUCCUAGAGGACUACGAGAUGGCUGCCAAGAUGGCAGAGGAGUUCAGGAAAACACAACCGACGUUUCCAGACCAGGUGAACUGUGAGCUGCUGCUGUACCAGAACCAGGUGCUGAGGGAGGCUUGGACUCUAUAAGGAGGCUCUGGACCACCUCACCACCCACCACCUACGAGAAACAGAUCUGUGACAAACUGGCCGUCGAGGAGACACAAGAGAAACCAAGUCUGAAGCCUCUCAUCGUCUCUCCGUAUGUCACUCUCACCUGGAACACAGAGAUCUCUAACAGUGUAUUCCCACCUGUAGGAGUGUGUUUUUGAACCUGGAUCGUCUGGAUGAAGCUACAGCGGUCUACAGGAGAGAGACCCUGAGAACUGGUCCUACUACCACGGUCUGGAGAAGGCCCUGAAUAAUCUGCAUCGUUAAUCAAUAUAAUAAUAUAUAAUAAUAAUUAUAAAUCAAUAUCAACAUCAUAACAAUCUGCAUCGUAAAUCAAUAUCAACAUCAUGACAACAAUCUGCAUCGUUAAUCAAUAUCAACAUCAUGACAACA